rnacentral:lncRNA from 1 species
AUUUAUAUAUAUAUAAUAUAUGUAUAUAUAUAUUUCCCUUCCUUCUUUCUUUCUUUUCUCCUUUCCCUCAUCCUAGUUGUUCUUUGCUAUUAAGCAGUUUCUUUCCCUUUCACAAUAUCUAUUGUACCUGUCAGUUUUAUUUACUCUUUCAGGUUCUUACUCUAGGGAGACAAUAUGAUGUUUGUAAAUGAGGUGUUCAAAGUGAACUGUGGACUCUUCAAGGAAUGUUGAAGAAACCAUUGCCAAAUGCCAUGAAAACACAGAAGUACUUUGUGAUUGGAGGCGAAAGUGCAAAGUGUGAUGCCUCUCUGGAAACCACUCAAAAGAGAUGAAAAGUAGGAGGGUGGUUCUUGACACUCGGGAAGAAAUCUCAGAGCGUCUCCUACUUCUUCCCACUGCUGCUAAAAAUGGUGCCAGGGCAGAGGAAGAGGUACCUGUGCAGUCCAGAGAUCCUAUGAAGACAAGGCACUCAUCAAACAAAACAAAAAGAGUUAAGUUCAGAGAGGCCAAGAGCUGCCAUGUACCAGCCAAAACACAACAGAAUAUUUAAGAAGAGACAAACUUUAAAAUGAUCA